UUUUUGAGUAGUUAAAAAUGUCAUAUUCUACAACGUACGUUUUACAAAAAAUUUCUUAUUAACCAUGGCUGAUACAAGUUAAGAAGGAAGUGGUAUAUUUCUACCACCAUAAAAAAAAGUAUAUACACAACAAACAUGUGAGAUAAAAAAAAAAUCAUUGCAAUUUAUUACCACAGUUAUUUUAUAUGAUUGAAACUACAUUGUCAAUAUUUUUAAGCUGUGAUAUUGCUACCUUUUUUUUUAGAAAAACUAUUACAUGUUAUGAAAGGCAAUCUAUGCCAAAAACAUAUUGUGUAACUGAAGAAGAAGAAUCGCAAUAAA
rnacentral:lncRNA from 1 species